AGUAAAGGUUCCAAGGGGUUCGACGUCUGCAGAGGCCUGAGUGUGGUCGGGUGGGAAGCUGACACUUAAGGGAGCCCAGGCCAGGGAAAAGGUUCCCUGGACCACGGACUCCCUGUGCAGGCUAUGGGCCCCAGUGCCCUGUAGACCUGGCGGGGCCCCUAGGCUUGAGACCCCUAUUUAGGGGUCUAGGCGGCUGUUGGAGAGCGUGGCAGAAAGACAGAGGAGACAGAAACAUGGCGUCUGUGGCCUCUGAGUCUCCCCCAAAGCGCAGCGUAACUGCAGGCAUCAUCAUUAUUGGAGAUGAGAUCCUCAAGGGCCACACACAGGACACCAACACCUACUUUCUGUGCCACAUGCUGCGCUCCCUGGGUGUCCAGGUGUGUCGUGUCUCCAUUGUGCCUGAUGAGGUGGCUGAUAUUGCGGCCGAGGUCGCCGCAUUUGCCAGCCGCUUCACUCAUGUCCUCACAGCAGGGGGCAUUGGCCCCACUCACGACGACGUGACAUUCGAGGCGGUGGCACAGGCCUUUGGGGAGGAACUGAAGCCCAACCCUGAACUGCAAGCAGCUGUGCGAGCCCUUGGUGGGCAGGGCCUGGAUAAGCUGGCCGUGGUACCUGCCUCUGCCCGCUUGCACUAUGGCACCGACCCUCGCACAGGCCAGUCCUUCAGGUUCCCGCUGGUCUCUGUUCAUAAUGUCUACCUCUUCCCCGGCAUCCCUGAGCUGCUGCGCCCUGUGCUGGAGGGACUCCAAAGCCUGUUUCGCAAUGCAACCAUGCACUUCCACCUGCGCCAGCUGUACGUGGCGGCCCCUGAAGCCUCCAUCGCCCCCAUCCUGGCAGAAGCGCAGGCCCACUUUGGGCGCCGGCUGGGCCUGGGCUCCUACCCUGACUGGGGCAGCAACUACUACAAGGUGAAGCUGACGCUGGACUCAGAGGAGGAAGUCUGUCUGGAUGAGUGCCAGGCCUACCUUGAGGCCCGCCUGCCCCCGGGGGUGCUUGUGCCCUAUCAACCUCAUGCUGUGGAGCAGGCCAGUGAGGCAGUGUACAGUCUCACAGAGUCAGGGUCUUCUCUAGGGAGCAAGGUGGCUGGGGCUCUGCAGACUAUUGAGACCGCCUUGGCCCAGUACAAGCUCAGCCAGCUAUGUGUCGGCUUCAAUGGUGGCAAGGACUGCACUGCCCUCCUGCAUCUGUUCCAUGCAGCUGUACAGAGGAAGUGCCCAGAUACCAGAGAGCCCCUCCAGAUCCUGCAUAUCCGCAGCAUCUCCCCUUUCCCCGAGCUGGAGCAGUUCCUGCAGGACACCAUUAAGAGGUAUAACCUGCAGGUGUUGGAGGUACAGGGUGACAUGAAGCAGGCCCUAGGUGAGCUGCAGGUGCGCCACCCCCAGCUGCAGGCAGUGCUGAUGGGCACUCGACGCACCGACCCCUACUCCCGCAGCCUCAGCCCCUUCAGCCCCACCGACACUGGCUGGCCCACCUUCAUGCGCGUCAAUCCAUUGCUGGACUGGACCUACAAGGACAUCUGGGACUUCCUGCGCCAGUUGUUCAUCCCCUACUGUAUCCUGUAUGACCGAGGUUACACAUCCCUGGGGAGUCGUGAGAACACUUCGCAGAACCCAGCCCUCAAGUGCCUGAGCCCAGGAGGACAACCCACCUACCGCCCCGCCUACCUGCUGGAGAAUGAGGAGGAGGAGCGCAACUCCCGCACUUGAGCCCCUGCACCUGGAGGGGGUGUGGCCCAGCUGAGCUGUUGGACUGACUGACUGAUGUAGGACCAGAGGCCACCACACAGCUCAGUGCCUGCCAGCACCCGUGAGACUACUGGGACCCCCAUGCUGGACCAAGGAUGGACCCACAUGUAUGGAUCCUUUGUGCUGUCUGCCUCAGCUCCGGUCUCCUCCCCAGCCCCUGCUUCUGGCAGAUUCUAGGGCAGGGCUAGGGCCUGCUGUCUGGGACCAGUGACAUCUCAGCAAGGCAGCCUAGGAGGUGGUGUAAUGGAUAAAGCAUUGGCUGCUUAAGCA